rnacentral:tRNA from 1 species
GGGUGGUUAGCUCAGUUGGUAGAGCAUCUGUUUUACACACAGAGGGUCAGAGGUUCGAGCCCUCUACCACCCA